CUGGAGAAGAGGAGGCUCAGGGGGAGACCUUAUCGCUCUCUUCUGCUCCGUGAAAGGAGGCUGUGGUGAGGAAUUUAGGUGCAAUCCAGCAACACGAAGAUCAACUCUCUCAUCUCCUGGAACUGAAGUAUCAUCCCUCCCAUACAGAAAGACUGCUUCUCAUCUUUCCUGGAGCCAGCAGCUGGAAGUGUGGAAUACAGACACUACAGCAUUGAAUUUACAUGUUAAACAGGAAUACAUGUCCCCUGGGAUCUGCACAACCAUAUCAAAGGAGGAAGACUGAGAUCAAGGCCUGAAUUUUAUACCGUUAACACCAUGGACUUCAUUCGUCCUCUCAAGUUAUACCUUGCAUGCUAAAGGCCACAUUGCCAUAAACAGGGCAAUGGCUGGGUACACUGGUGGGACAGGCACUGUAUAGGCUAGGUGCCAAAUCUCAUUCUUAUGCAGUCUGAGUACAGCAGUCUCUUUCAUCUUCGUCUCUAACUUCUGUU
rnacentral:lncRNA from 1 species